rnacentral:rRNA from 1 species
ACUUAGUGGCGAACGGGUGAGUAACGCGUGAGUAAUCUGCCUUUAGGUGGGGGACAACAGCCGGAAACGGCUGCUAAUACCGCAUAAUGUACCGGAUGGCAUCUUCCGAUACCAAAGAUUUAUCGCCUAAAGAUGAGCUCGCGUCCGAUUAGAUAGUUGGUGGGGUAACGGCCUACCAAGUCUGCGAUCGGUAGCCGGGUUGAGAGACUGAUCGGCCACAUUGGGACUGAGAUACGGCCCAGACUCCUACGGGAGGCAGCAGUGGGGAAUAUUGGGCAAUGGGGGAAACCCUGACCCAGCAACGCCGCGUGAAGGAAGAAGGCUUUCGGGUUGUAAACUUCUUUGACGAGGGACGAAACAAAUGACGGUACCUCGAAAACAAGCCCCGGCUAACUAUGUGCCAGCAGCCGCGGUAAUACAUAGGGGGCGAGCGUUAUCCGGAAUUAUUGGGCGUAAAGGGUACGUAGGCGGGCCUGCAAGUCUGAUUUGAAAGCACACGGCUUAACCGUGUGAGGUAAUUAGAAACUACAGGUCUAGAGAGUGGUAGAGGUAAAUGGAAUUCCAAGUGGAGCGGUGAAAUGCGUAGAGAUUUGGAGGAACACCAGUGGCGAAGGCGGUUUACUGGGCCACAUCUGACGCUGAUGUACGAAAGCGUGGGGAGCAAACAGGAUUAGAUACCCUGGUAGUCCACGCCGUAAACGAUGAGUGAUAAGUAUCGGAGGAUUCGGUGCUUAAGCUAACGCAGUAAGCACUCCGCCUGGGGAGUACGGUCGCAAGACUGAAACUCAAAGGAAUAGACGGGGACUCGCACAAGCGGUGGAGCAUGCGGUUUAAUUCGAUGCAACGCGAAGAACCUUCCCAGGUCUUGACAGCGUAAAGAAUACUUAAGAGAUUAAGGGCUAAGAAUUAAGCUUGCUUAUUUCACUUUAUAAACAGGUGGUGCAUGGUUGUCGUCAGCUCGUGUCGUGAGAUGUUGGGUUAAGUCCCGCAACGAGCGCAACCCCUAUUGCUAGUUGCCAUCAUUAAGUUGGGCACUCUAGCAAGACUGCCGGUGACAAAUCGGAUGAAGGUGGGGGGGACGUCAAAUCAUCAUGCCCCCUAUGACCUGGGGUACACGCGUGCUACAAUGGCUAAUACAAAGAGUUGCAAAACCGUGAGGUAGAGCUAAUCUCAUAAAGUUAGUCUCAGUUCGGAUUGUAGUCUGCAACUCGACUACACGAAGUAGGAAUCGCUAGUAAUCGUAAAUCAGAAUGUUACGGUGAAUAAGGUCUCGAGUCUUGUACAC